GCUGUGAUGGCCGAGUGGUGAAGGCGUUGGACUUGAAAUCCAGUGGGGUUUCCCCGCGCAGGUUCAAAUCCUGCUCACAGCG
rnacentral:tRNA from 1 species